AUCACUUCUCAGUCUUUUGGCUAAGAUCAAGUGUAGUAUCUUUUCUGGUCAGUUUAGUCCGUGAAGUGUCCUCUAUCAAUGAGCAAUGCAUUAAAUGCAUUUUCAGAGCAGGGAGAUGGAAUAGGAGAGCUUGCUCUGUCCGCUGCAUGCAUUGACCUCGUAUUCCACUACCUUCAGGAACAGUGCACCCCCU